UCGAACGCUUCUUUUCCCCCAGAGCUUGCUCCCCCUUGGAAAGAGGAGUGGCGGACGGGUGAGUAACACGUGGGUAACCUACCCAUCAGAGGGGGAUAACACUUGGAAACAGGUGCUAAUACCGUAUAACAGUCAUAUGCCGCAUGGUUUAAAUUUGAAAGGCGCUUUCGGGUGUCGCUGAUGGAUGGACCCGCGGUGCAUUAGCUAGUUGGUGAGGUAACGGCUCACCAAGGCCACGAUGCAUAGCCGACCUGAGAGGGUGAUCGGCCACAUUGGGACUGAGACACGGCCCAAACUCCUACGGGAGGCAGCAGUAGGGAAUCUUCGGCAAUGGACGAAAGUCUGACCGAGCAACGCCGCGUGAGUGAAGAAGGUUUUCGGAUCGUAAAACUCUGUUGUUAGAGAAGAACAAGGAUGAUAGUAACUGAUCGUCCCUUGACGGUAUCUAACCAGAAAGCCACGGCUAACUACGUGCCAGCAGCCGCGGUAAUACGUAGGUGGCAAGCGUUGUCCGGAUUUAUUGGGCGUAAAGCGAGCGCAGGCGGUUUCUUAAGUCUGAUGUGAAAGCCCCCGGCUCAACCGGGGAGGGUCAUUGGAAACUGGGAGACUUGAGUGCAGAAGAGGAGAGUGGAAUUCCAUGUGUAGCGGUGAAAUGCGUAGAUAUAUGGAGGAACACCAGUGGCGAAGGCGGCUCUCUGGUCUGUAACUGACGCUGAGGCUCGAAAGCGUGGGGAGCAAACAGGAUUAGAUACCCUGGUAGUCCACGCCGUAAACGAUGAGUGCUAAGUGUUGGAGGGUUUCCGCCCUUCAGUGCUGCAGCUAACGCAUUAAGCACUCCGCCUGGGGAGUACGACCGCAAGGUUGAAACUCAAAGGAAUUGACGGGGGCCCGCACAAGCGGUGGAGCAUGUGGUUUAAUUCGAAGCAACGCGAAGAACCUUACCAGGUCUUGACAUCCUUUUGACCACUCUAGAGAUAGAGCUUUCCCUUCGGGGACAAAGUGACAGGUGGUGCAUGGUUGUCGUCAGCUCGUGUCGUGAGAUGUUGGGUUAAGUCCCGCAACGAGCGCAACCCUUUAUUGUUAGUUGCCAUCAUUUCAGUUGGGCACUCUAACCAAGAUUGCCGGUGACAAACCGGAGGAAGGUGGGGGAUGACGUCAAAUCAUCAUGGCCCCUUAUGACCUGGGGCUACCCCCGUGGCUACAAUGGGGAAGUACAACCAAGUUCGCUAAAUCUCGGAGGUUAAGCAAAAUCCUUUAAAGGUUUCUUCCAAUUUCGGAUUCGAAGGCGGGAACUCUCCUCGGUUGAAACCGGGAAUCCUU
rnacentral:rRNA from 1 species